AGGGUUGUAGUUAAUUAUAACAUUUGGGUUGCAUUCAAAAAGUAUUGAUUAUUAAUCAAUCAACCUUA
rnacentral:tRNA from 1 species